UACCAGCACCCCGAGUGGUCGGGACGAUUAUUGGGCCUAAAGCCUCCGUAGCCGGUUCUACAAGUCUUCCGUUAAAUCCACCUGCUUAACAGAUGGGCUGCGGAGGAUACUAUGGAGCUAGGAGGCGGGAGAGGCAAGCGGUACUUAGUGGGUAGGGGUAAAAUCCGUUGAUCCAUUGAAGACCACCAGUGGCGAAGGCGGCUUGCCAGAACGCACUCGACGGUGAGGGAUGAAAGCUGGGGGAGCAAACCGG
rnacentral:rRNA from 1 species